GACGAACGCUGGCGGCGUGCUUAACACAUGCAAGUCGAGCGGGGAGCUUCGGCUCCUAGCGGCGAACGGGUGAGUAACACGUGGGCAACCUGCCCCGAGCUCUGGAAUAACCUCGGGAAACCGGGGCUAAUGCCGGAUAUGACAUCACUGGGCAUCUGGUGGUGUGGAAAGAUUUAUCGGCUCGGGAUGGGCCCGCGGCCUAUCAGCUUGUUGGUGGGGUGAUGGCCUACCAAGGCGACGACGGGUAGCCGGCCUGAGAGGGCGACCGGCCACACUGGGACUGAGACACGGCCCAGACUCCUACGGGAGGCAGCAGUGGGGAAUAUUGCGCAAUGGGCGGAAGCCUGACGCAGCGACGCCGCGUGGGGGAUGACGGCC
rnacentral:rRNA from 1 species